rnacentral:rRNA from 1 species
AGCGGCGCACGGGUGCGUAACGCGUGGGAACAUGCCUCUAGGUACGGAACAACACAGGGAAACUUGUGCUAAUACCGUAUAAUAUCUCCGGAUCAAAGAUUUAUCGCCUAGAGAUUGGCCCGCGUUAGAUUAGGUAGUUGGUGGGGUAAUGGCCUACCAAGCCGACGAUCUAUAGCUGGUCUGAGAGGAUGAUCAGCCACACUGGAACUGAGACACGGUCCAGACUCCUACGGGAGGCAGCAGUAAGGAAUAUUGGACAAUGGGCGAAAGCCUGAUCCAGCCAUGCCGCGUGAGUGAUGAAGGCCUUAGGGUUGUAAAACUCUUUUAGAUGGGAAGAUAAUGACGGUACCAUCAGAAUAAGCCCCGGCUAAAUUCGUGCCAGCAGCCGCGGUAAUACGAAUGGGGCAAGCGUUGUUCGGAAUCACUGGGCGUAAAGCGUGUGUAGGCGGUUUAUCAAGUCAGAAGUGAAAGCCCAGGGCUUAACCCUGGAAUUGCUUUUGAAACUGAUAGGCUAGAGUACUGGAGAGGUUAGCAGAAUUCCGAGUGUAGAGGUGAAAUUCGCAGAUAUUCGGAGGAAUACCAGUGGCGCAAGCGGCUAACUGGACAGUAACUGACGCUGAGACACGAAAGCGUGGGGAUCAAACAGGAUUAGAUACCCUGGUAGUCCAUGCUGUAAACGAUGUAUGUUAGUUGUCGGGGG